ACACUGUGAGGAUUGACAGAUUGAAAGCUCUUUCUUGAUUCAGUGGGUGGUGGUGCAUGGCCGUUCUUAGUUGGUGGAGUGAUUUGUCUGGUUAAUUCCGUUAACGAACGAGACCUUAACCUGCUAAAUAGUCACGCGAACCGGUCCGCAAGGGCUCAAAGUUCGCGGCUCGACUUCUUAGAGGGACUAUUCGCACCCGCCAGCGAAUGGAAGUUUGAGGCAAUAACAGGUCUGUGAUGCCCUUAGAUGUUCUCGGCCGCACGCGCGUUACACUGACGGAGUCAACGAGCGUUUUUCCUUGCCCGAUAGGGCCGGGUAACCUCCUGAAACUCCGUCGUGAUGGGGAUAGAUCAUUGCAAUUAUUGAUCUUGAACGAGGAAUUCCUAGUAAGCGCGAGUCAUCAACUCGCGCUGAUUACGUCCCUGCCC
rnacentral:rRNA from 1 species